rnacentral:rRNA from 1 species
UUUUCCUACGGGGGGCAGCAGUGGGGAAUAUUGGGCAAUGGGCGCAAGCCUGACCCAGCAACGCCGCGUGAAGGAAGAAGGCUUUCGGGUUGUAAACUUCUUUUGUCAGGGACGAAGCAAGUGACGGUACCUGACGAAUAAGCCACGGCUAACUCCGUGCCAGCAGCCGCGGUAAUACGGAGGAUGCGAGCGUUAUCCGGAUUUAUUGGGUUUAAAGGGUGCGUAGGCGGGCUGCCAAGUCAGCGGUAAAAUUGCGGGGCUCAACCCCGUCGAGCCGUUGAAACUGGCGGUCUUGAGUGGGCGAG